CCUACGGGAGGCAGCAGUAGGGAAUAUUGCUCAAUGGGGGAAACCCUGAAGCAGCAACGCCGCGUGGAGGAUGAAGGUUUUAGGAUUGUAAACUCCUUUUGUUAGAGAAGAUUAUGACGCUAACUAACGAAUAAGCACUGGCCAAAUCCGAGCCAGCAGCCGCGGUAAUACGGAGGGUGCAAGCGUUACUCGGAAUCACUGGGCGUAAAGAGUGCGUAGGCGGGGUAAUAAGUCAGAUGUGAAAGCCUGUAGCUUAACUACAGAACUGCAUUUGAAACUGUUACUCUGGAGUGUGGGAGAGGUAGGUGGAAUUCUUGGUGUAGGGGUGAAAUGCGUAGAGAUCAAGAAGAAUACUGAUUGCGAAGGCGACCUACUAGGCCAUUACUGACGCUGAUGCACGAAAGCGUGGGGAGCAAACAGGAUUAGAUACCCGGGUAGUC
rnacentral:rRNA from 1 species